rnacentral:rRNA from 1 species
GUACACAAAAAUGCACAUGCUGUGAGCUCGAUGAGUAGGGCGGGACACGUGGUAUCCUGUCUGAAUAUGGGGGGACCAUCCUCCAAGGCUAAAUACUCCUGACUGACCGAUAGUGAACCAGUACCGUGAGGGAAAGGCGAAAAGAACCCCGGCGAGGGGAGUGAAAAAGAACCUGAAACCGUGUACGUACAAGCAGUGGGAGCACGCUUAGGCGUGUGACUGCGUACCUUUUGUAUAAUGGGUCAGCGACUUAUAUUCUGUAGCAAGGUUAACCGAAUAGGGGAGCCGAAGGGAAACCGAGUCUUAACUGGGCGUUAAGUUGCAGGGUAUAGACCCGAAACCCGGUGAUCUAGCCAUGGGCAGGUUGAAGGUUGGGUAACACUAACUGGAGGACCGAACCGACUAAUGUUGAAAAAUUAGCGGAUGACUUGUGGCUGGGGGUGAAAGGCCAAUCAAACCGGGAGAUAGCUGGUUCUCCCCGAAAGCUAUUUAGGUAGCGCCUCGUGAAUUCAUCUCCGGGGGUAGAGCACUGUUUCGGCAAGGGGGUCAUCCCGACUUACCAACCCGAUGCAAACUGCGAAUACCGGAGAAUGUUAUCACGGGAGACACACGGCGGGUGCUAACGUCCGUCGUGAAGAGGGAAACAACCCAGACCGCCAGCUAAGGUCCCAAAGUCAUGGUUAAGUGGGAAACGAUGUGGGAAGGCCCAGACAGCCAGGAUGUUGGCUUAGAAGCAGCCAUCAUUUAAAGAAAGCGUAAUAGCUCACUGGUCGAGUCGGCCUGCGCGGAAGAUGUAACGGGGCUAAACCAUGCACCGAAGCUGCGGCAGCGACGCUGAUGCGUUGUUGGGUAGGGGAGCGUUCUGUAAGCCUGUGAAGGUGUGCUGUGAGGCAUGCUGGAGGUAUCAGAAGUGCGAAUGCUGACAUAAGUAACGAUAAAGCGGGUGAAAAGCCCGCUCGCCGGAAGACCAAGGGUUCCUGUCCAACGUUAAUCGGGGCAGGGUGAGUCGACCCCUAAGGCGAGGCCGAAAGGCGUAGUCGAUGGGAAACAGGUUAAUAUUCCUGUACUUGGUGUUACUGCGAAGGGGGGACGGAGAAGGCUAUGUUGGCCGGGCGACGGUUGUCCCGGUUUAAGCGUGUAGGCUGGUUUUCCAGGCAAAUCCGGAAAAUCAAGGCUGAGGCGUGAUGACGAGGCACUACGGUGCUGAAGCAACAAAUGCCCUGCUUCCAGGAAAAGCCUCUAAGCAUCAGGUAACAUCAAAUCGUACCCCAAACCGACACAGGUGGUCAGGUAGAGAAUACCAAGGCGCUUGAGAGAACUCGGGUGAAGGAACUAGGCAAAAUGGUGCCGUAACUUCGGGAGAAGG